ACGCUCGACACCUACGGGGGCAGCAGUUAGGAAUAUUGGGCAAUGGAGGGAACUCUGACCCAGCAACGCCGCGUGAAGGAAGAAGGUUUUCGGGCUGUAAACUUCUGAUCUAAGGGAAAAAGAAAGUGAUGGUACCUUAGGAGAAAGCCACGGCUAACUACGUGCCGGCAGCCGCGGUAAUCUGAGCGGGCGUGGCAAGGC
rnacentral:rRNA from 1 species